UUAUUUAAUUAAAAUACUAUAAUUUUUUUUUUUUUUUGAAGAAACUUGGCAACGUUUUUCAUUAACCAAAUCUUGAAUUUGUUGAAUUGUAGUUAUUUUUAAAAUUGCUUUCACGUGCUUGAUCUAGAUCUUUUCGUAGUUUUAUUAUUUUUUAAAGUGAAAAACAGUCGUGCUACCGUAGAUAAAAUACAUUUAAUUACUAAUUAUACAUUGGGAAAUGUACGAUCGAUGUGCUUCGACAUAUACAAUAGUUUCCCCUAUAUAUGGAAAUGUUUUUUGAUACACGUUUAUUUAAUUCCAUGUACUUGUAAUUUUAAUUAAAGAAUCCAGUGUUGUCGAAACGUAUUGAUUAUCAGUCAAUGCGUGUUUGACAUGCCUGAUCCAAGGAUUAUAUUACAUUAUUUCAUCAAUUUAGCGUCCUUUAAAAAGCCUUUUAAAAUCAUUUCAAGUUUUUCUUUUUACCUUCUUCUUGAGUGUGGUUUUUUUGCCAGUUUCAAUCGAAAUGUGUGAUUCUAGAAUAUUUUCUCCUUCUCUUCUUCUGAUCCUAUUUCCUGUUUUAUAAAUUCUUCAUUUCGUUCUAGAUAAAAAAAAAAAAAGGAGGGAAAAUUCGAAAAUGCCUUCUUUCUUUCGAAUCUCGAUAAAAAUCUGGAUAAAAUUAAAAUUAGCAUUAGAAUUCGAUUCGUGUGCACGAGGGAGAAGGGUAUAAAUGCAUAAAUCGAUACGAAUCCGAAGGCAGGUUUCGUUAAUGAACAGAGUUCGAAUUUGCUUUGGUUACUUUGAUGUUUGAAGAGGGAACGGAUGGAGGAUAGAAUUUUAUCGAUAAACUCGGAUACUGGGUGAAUACUGGUACCUGCUAAUUCAACCUGAAAUCAUUUCACGUACGGCGAAAGAACAUCGCUUUUACGAGAUUUACUCGCUCUAUUCAUUUAUUAACUUGGAUGGGCCAUUCUUCAGCCCCUGAUGAGAUUACGUUAACGCUUUGAAAAAUUAAAGAAAUCUUUGGAACACAAGAGCGACGCAUACGAUUUUCUGAAGUGGUUGAAACCGGGAAAUAUUCCUCUAUGAAACGCACUCUCAUCCGCUACUCGUUCGUUUAACUGUUAUCCUCGGAUAAAUAAGACGUAAUUGUGCCAGUUUUAAAAAAUUGUGGAAUAUUUGAACGGCUGUAUUUCCGAAGAAAUGGCAGAGAUUGCAAAUAAUAAUUUUAUUUUUCAACAAUUUGGAAAGAUUGACAUUAAUAAUUAAAAAGGAAUAUAGAAAAAAUCGUACUGUAAAAAAAUUUUUUCAUUUCGAGGGUAUUUACAAAAGGAUAUUUUUCCUGCUUUUCAAAGGCAAAUGACUUGUGAACAGUGAUAUCGUUGUUGUUUAAAUAAAGGAUCUGGAAAACGUUAGGAAACUGUACCCGCUCGUAAAUGUCUAUCAAAAUUACGACGAUGAUGAAGUUAUAUCAAAUUAUGAGCAACAGCAUGAAAACGGGAUAUUUGAUGAAAAAUUCGAUUUCUUUUGUGAAAGUACAUCAUCAUACGAAUAAUUGUGUAUUUCGUAAUUAUAUUACACUUCGCACGAUCAAAAACCAAUUUUUUAUUGUCUCGUAUUUCUUAAUAAUUUAAUUUCCAUAAAUAAUCUCAAAAAAUAAAUUUUAUCGAUUAUUUUAUAUCCACGAGAUCGCGUAUAUAAUAUCUAAUAGCAUAAAGAAAAAUAGGAACAAAUACGCGAUUUCGGUGGAAAAAUAGUUCUUUCCGCUUUCGAGAGGCAAAUACUCGCACCAUGGAAGCGAACUCAAAGGUCCACUGACGCGACGAUCGUUCCUCCAACCCCCCCCUCCUCGGUACAUUUUCACGAGAAGUGAAAGGAUCGAAGGAAAAAGCAACGACGGUCUUCGACGGUCGAGUUGGAAUAGAAGCGGUGUGCGGUUCAGAUAGAAUCCAGCGAUACGAUACAGUUUGCAUAGAAAUACGGUUAGAAUGAUCACAGUUAGCCGCGAACAGUUAAAGUAGCGCCAUUCGUUCGUAGCUCUCGAAGCUAGGUUUAGUUCGCAUCACGUUUGUGCGAAAGUCGCUCACCUUUCGACUUUAAAACGAUUGGCGAGAUCCGAAUUCGAAGAGUAAUUAACUUCGAGAGAGCGAGAGCGUGGAGCAGGACGUGCAUCUUGUAUCCAAUCUACUUGGCACGCUCCUCGGGGAUCGCGUAAUAUAUAUUGCACAAUUUAAUUAAACCUGUCGUACCUGCGCGCCCUCUGUUACGUCGGCAUCAACAACGUCAGUUUUAAGCAUUAAUCGGCUACCGCCGAUGGACGGAUCAAGAACGGGUGCAAAUUAUUAUUUUCGAAGAAAGGUAUACGCAUUUUCCCUAUCGGUAUUUAGAUUCGACGGAUCGGGGACACGAACCUUUUUUCCCUUUGUUGAUUUUGUUUCGAGACGUAUCCGCCCCGAUCUUGGGCGAUUUAAUCAAAAAAGUUUGAAAAGUUAAUCGCGUAGCGACACGCGGAGAAAAAAAUCUUCCCCCCCCCCCCCUCCUCCAGAAAAGUAAACGGCGAAAAAGUUGGCCGGUCGGAAAGUUGUCGGUCGGAAUUCCGUGGACUCGAACCUUUCCUCGCCCCACUCUAUCGAUAAUUCACCUCGUAUUUGGAGAGGUAAGAGGGGAGGGAGAAAGAAAAAAUCGCUCGAAGCGUUUCUCUUUAUUUCGAUCCCACCGAAUGAUGAAUCAACCAGGGGACGUAAUAAUUUUUCUUGGAUGGAAGAGUUUUAUCGCGAUAAUAUGUAUAUAUAUACGUACAUAUAUAUGUAUAUAUAUGUAUAUACGGGGGAAAGAGGGACUAGUUAAUACGAAUGGACGGUCGUUCAAUUUUCAAGUAAUGCAGCUUUUGCCGGGAAAUAAUAUUUAUCGACGGAUAUUGAAUCACGGCCGACACGUACAUUCCGCAUUAAUGCACGAUACUCGGUGAAAAUAUUUCGACGAUGUAAUCGGAUUCCCUGAUAAAUUGCACCGACCGAGGAUCCAUUCCGACCGUACUUGGGAGCCUCGUGUUAUUAUUUACUUUGGCCGAAACGACUCGUGCCCCCACCAUUCGUCGAAUCCUCGUUCCGCCGAUCGCUUGAACAUGGUAACUAUUCCUGGUAAUUCAGUUUACCAUCAAAGUUUGUCCCUUUAGAAAAUAAUACCGCGAACGUUCGCUCUUUAUUUCACUUAUCUUAUCUUAUCUUCCCCUCCUUUCCUCCGACUCGCGAUCCCAUCGCGUAAGCAACGAUCGCACGACUCCUUGGUCGACUCGAGAUUUUUUCGGAGCGAUGGUGACCGCGAUAAAAGUAACCGCGUUGCAAACAGCGCGUAAAUGAAAAAGAUACGAGACGAGGAGGUGGUUGGAUAAUAGUUGGAGAAGAGCCUCUUAUUUUCCAGAGAACUCUUUCAUAAACUCGUAAAGUUUUCUCGCCGCGUCUCUCCCUCUCUUCGUUUCCCCCUCCACCCUUCUCGCUUAUCCCAUUGCUCGCUCUUCCUCUCCCCUCUCCUCCUCCCCUUCCUCGUGUUCUCGUUUCGUUCCCCACCAGUUUCGUUUACUCGUUGUAGGGAGACGGCUUACUCGGUUAGAAGCACGCGAAAUAACGCGUUGCUUACGAGAGAUAAAAGUUGGUCGCCGGGGGCAAGAGAGAGUACUAAGCGCGAUGCGUCCAGUUUCGAUUAUUUGUAACGCGUUCUUAAUAUAGCAAGGAAAUAAUGCUAGUAUAAUUUUGAUCGCGAUACGAACGUGUUUUUAUCAUAUAUAUUUAUUUUAAAUAUUAAAAUAGAAUAUAAAUAAAUUAAAAAUUAUUUACUAAUUUAAAAAUAUAAAUUCAAGAUUAAUUGUUUAUUAAUUAAACGUUAGAUAGAUAGGUAGAUAAAAUCGAGUAUCUUUUCCAACGAUUAACAGUAGUCGGUAGCACGUUUUAACCUUCCUUUAUGUUUUCGAUACCGAUCUUCGAAUAAUCAUAAAUUUGGACAUCGAGCGAGAUUCGUAAAAAUAAACGAGACUCGUUACAUGUACAAAAAGGAUAAUCGACGCGCGUUUUUCAUCCAAAAAUGAAAAAUCUUUUCUUUUCGAUCAUCUUUCGAAAUCGAUGGAAACGGUUUAUCGAUCGACUUUGUUACUAUUAUUGCGAAGAAACGAGAAAUGUUUGAUCUCGAUCCGUUUACCCGUGACACGAAUCGCGCGCGUGUCGUUGAAGAAAACGGUAACCGUUUUCUGAUCAAUUUCCAGACGAAAGCGGUGUCAAAAGCGGUGCAGAAAACGGAUAACAGUUCAUUGUUGCCGCCUGGUAUUCAUGGUAUCCAUCGUCCACGGUUGGCCCUUUGUCCCGCGACAAAAAGGACACGAUUGGAAAUCGAAAUCGGGAGAGAGUGAAACGGGCGAGAAUGGAGCGAGGUGGGGGGGAGGGGGAGAGUUAAUAUCCGGGAACUAACAGGGAAAUGUAACAGCUGUAUAGCUGUAUCGGUCAUCGAUGUCCUUCAAAGAAAACCUGUGCCGCGUACACUCUACGCUGCUGCCUUCGAUAUUCGCACCACUACCACUCUCUGCCGUAAUUUUUUUAUCAAUCGUUUCGUCUCUCUCUUUUCUUUUUUUUUUACUAUUACGUCCCUAUAAAUAAUAAACAUCGAACAAAACUAACGAAUCUUUAUUUACCUGUUUCUACGAUGUUUCAUAUAAUCAGUAUAUAAUUGUAUAGAGGAGGGAGGGGAUUGGUAAAAUAAUGGAUGUUGAUGAAUGAUUCGAGAAUAAAAAAAAAAAAAAGAGAAAAAAGAAGCUAAUAUUUUCGCGUAUACCUUUUCGCUUUGUUUCGAAUCCGGUGCUUGCCCUCUUUUUCGAUAAGUGUACUUACAUACGCCCCUCCUUCUCCUCUUCCCCCCACCACUCGCCAGAGAAACGCGUGACGCGCGCCAGAAAUAGAAUCGGUAAAUUUUUCCGUUUGUCGAGCGCGCAACGAUCGGAAAUCGAAGCGGGGGAGAAAGGGAGGGAGAAAGCAGGAGGAGGAUGGCCGAGUAGUACAAUAAACGCUCCAUCUCGUUCCUCGAAUAGCAAUGGAUGGAAAGUUGUGAUGAACGCGUAACGGUGAUCGAUCGUAGAUCGUACGCGCGAAACCCGUAUUCGCUACAGAUUUCCAUUAAAGUACAUCGCGUUCGUCCGAAAGUGAUAUCGGAUCGCUUAUUUCCCAUCUAUUCACACCCGUUUUCCCCGUUUUUUUUCCUCCCCUCGUUCCUUCUCGAAAAAAUUCCACGCUAACUUCGUUACGCGUGCGCGCGCAACCGUUUCGCGUAUCGCGGAACGGUGGGGGAAUCGUCCUUGAGAGACGAGUCACGUGGUCAUCGCUCGAGGCGUUUUCGACCGUUUGGCGUCGCGUCGCUCUAAGCCGUGUCUCGCCGCGACAAAGAAAGAGAGAAAGGAAGGAAGGAAGGAAGGAAAUUUAUCAGUGUUCUAUUGAGCAGAGGUAUACCGCCUUGUUAGAAGAAGGAAGAAGGGAAAAAAGAAAAGGCAUUCGAUUGGACGGGAAGGAAGAGAUCAAGUCGGAGGAUUUUCGAAAUGGUGAAAGGAGAGAGAGAGAGCGCUUGACUCUGUGUUUGGAUCUGUCGCUAGCAUUCCCGCCGCUGCCCAUUAACUGUCUCUCUCGCCUUUCGUUCCCACCGAUGGGACACGACACCGCGUCUUCUCGGCUUUGGGACGAGUUUGCCGCGUCUCGUCCUGCGAUCAUGCAUUAAAUAAGCGUUUGCGCUUCCGUUCCGGGCUUCAAAUCAUUCCCUUCGCUACGAUAAUUCUCGUCCACGCGAGGCAUACGAUUUCAGACAUAACCUAAAAUCGAUCGAAUUCCAAAGUGUUCGUCGCGUUCUCGACGUAUCUGUUUCGCUCGACAGAAAUGUAUUCUCUCCGCAAAAUCGUGAGUGAAUCGAUGUGAAAAUUCAAAACGAUGAACGACUUUGAAUAUCGCAGAAACGUUGUGGCUUUAUUAAAGGUAUUACUCGAAGAGCCACGCAUUGUGCAGCACUGUGUACAAUAUUAUACGAGCUUCGAGCGAAUGGUGGUUCACUUUAACCGUUCGAUAGACGAUUGUAUCGUUGCUGAAUUCCAUCCGAUCUCAAUUCUAUCGGAAUUUUAUUCCAAUUGAUUCGAUCUAAAGCCUUCGUCUCUCGACCAUUAUUUUUGAAAAUAGAAACUAAGAGGAAGUUAAACAAACCUGUAACAAUUAAUAAAUUACUUCUUAAUAAUUUAACAUAAUAAUAAUAAUAAUAGCGAAUAAAACGAGGCUACGAAUAAAUAUUAUUCCAUCACUUUAACAAGUAAUUAUUUAAACUAACUUUAUUCUAAAUUUUUAACUACUACUUUACUUUCAACGUCGAUGCAACUUGCACACAAGCAUGAACCUUAUCAUUGCUGUUAUUAUCUCCGUUAUUUAAAUUGGAAGAAAACAAUUGGACUACUCGCUCCGACUCGAACUAUUGAAAAUAAAUCUUCACUUGCGAA